rnacentral:misc_RNA from 1 species
AACCAUAGAAACCUGCGGAGUACCUGCGGAAGGAUCAUUACCGAGUUUACAAACUCCCAACCCUAUGUGAACCUUACCAAUCGUUGCUUCGGCGGGCUUAGCCCCCGCGCCCUCGCCGGCGCCGGGAGAAAGGCGCCCGCCGGGGACCCCAAACCCAAUGUUUUUCAUGCAGUAUUUCUGAGUGGCAAACGCAAAAAUAAAUCAAAACUUUUAACAAUGGAUCUCAGAUCGGAAGAGCAC